rnacentral:lncRNA from 1 species
GGGAUCGGACGGCGGCUUUCUCAGAUUUCCCCUCUUUUUUUUUUCUCGUCUUUCGAGUUCCGUCGGUUCUUCCCGACUCGAUCUCAACUCGCCUCUCGCUGUUUCUUCAAUCGAAGUCGUGUUCCUUCCUGAGGCAGAUGGAUUGCGGAGACGAAGCAGUUCAACUAGAUGGAUGACAACUUGAUGAUUUCUACUACUACCUAUCCUAUGAAUGGCUCUUCGGAAAAAAUAGCGGCUAGGACAAGCGAAUCCAUCACAAGAAUUAUUUCUCCUCCUCCUGGCUGACGAUGCCGGCCGGUAGAAUUCAAGGAAACCCCCACCAUCAGAGAUUUUGACGCAGGCUUUUUCUAUCCUAGGCUAGAUCUCUGUCGGCAGAGCAUCCCAUUUUUUCCGAUAAUUCACCGAGAAAUUCCAUCCUACGGGUCCACCAACUCCUUCCGUCUUCGGUAUUCACCCAGUCGGCCGUUAAUCGGUUGCCGAUAUCUGAUCUCUUCAAAAUGCGCGCCACGAAUUUUUAGCACACUCCAAGCAUAUGAUCUCGUUCGUUCCCUGCAACAGCUGGCCUCCUUGAAGGUCCCAUCUGCGGUGGAGGUGGCCAAGCGAGGAGCCGACGAGGAUCUGGCGACCGAGCUCAGGAAGCUGAGGAGGCAGAACACCAUCACCCACUGCCUCUUAUCCGCCAUGAUCGUGGUCACCGCCGCUUGGCAGCUCUCCGCGGCCUCCCUUCUGCUCAGUCUCAAGAGCAGGCUCACCAACCCAUUCAAGACCGCGGUGAGCCUGAUCGGGAGUGUUCUGAAGGGUGGAGGAGGAGGGGGCCUGCAGGAGUUGCAGAGGCUAUCUUCCAACCCAG